GUGCCAGCCGCCGCGGUAAUACCGGCAGCCCGAGUGAUGGCCGAUAUUAUUGGGCCUAAAGCGUUCGUAGCCGGCCAGUCAGGUCUGUUGGGAAAUCCACGCGCUCAACGCGUGGGCGUCCAGCGGAAACUGUCUGGCUUGGGGCCGGAGGACUCGAGGGGUACGUCCGGGGUAGGAGUGAAAUCCCGUAAUCCUGGACGGACCACCGGUGGCGAAGGCACUUCGAGAAAACGGAUCCGACAGUGAGGGACGAAAGCCAGGGUCUCCAACCGGAUUAGAAACCCUUGUAGUCC
rnacentral:rRNA from 1 species